rnacentral:rRNA from 1 species
UACGAAGGGUGCAAGCGUUAUCCGGAUUCACUGGGUUUAAAGGGUGCGUAGGUGGGCAGUUAAGUCAGUGGUGAAAUCUCCGGGCUCAACCCGGAAACUGCCAUUGAUACUAUCUGUCUUGAAUAUCGUGGAGGUAAGCGGAAUAUGUCAUGUAGCGGUGAAAUGCUUAGAUAUGACAUAGAACACCAAUUGCGAAGGCAGCUUACUACCCGAAUAUUGACACUGAGGCACGAAAGCGUGGGGAUCAAACAGG